CAAUAGCGUAUAUUAAAGUUGUUGCAGUUAAAAAGCUCGUAGUUGGAUUUCUGCUGAGGACGAUCGGUCCGCCCACUGGGUGAGUAUCUGGCUCGGCCUUGGCAUCUUCUUGGAGAACGUUGCUGCACUUGACUGUGUGGCGCGGUAUCCAGGACUUUUACUUUGAGGAAAUUAGAGUGUUUCAAGCAGGCGCACGCCUUGAAUACAUUAGCAUGGAAUAAUGAGAUAGGACCUUGGUUCUAUUUUGUUGGUUUCUAGAGCUGAGGUAAUGAUUAAUAGGGAUAGUUGGGGGCAUUCGUAUUUAACUGUCAGAGGCGAAAUUCUUGGAUUUGUUAAAGACGGACUACUGCGAAAGCAUUUGCCAAGGAUGUUUUCAUUGA
rnacentral:rRNA from 1 species